AGGUUAAUGACAAAGUGCCUGUAGUGGUGAAAACAGGCAGAUCGUAAAGACGCCGUAAACCCAUCCCUGGGGGCUCGAGCCGCGCCUUCCCUGGCGCGGACGCUUU
rnacentral:ncRNA from 1 species